UACGUAGGGUGCGAGCGUUAAUCGGAAUUACUGGGCGUAAAGCGUGCGCAGGCGGUUCGUUGUGUCGGCGGUGAAAGCCCCGGGCUCAACCUGGGAAUGGCCGUUGAAACUGGCGAACUGGAGUGUGGCAGAGGGGGGUGGAAUUCCGCGUGUAGCAGUGAAAUGCGUAGAGAUGCGGAGGAACACCGAUGGCAAAGGCAGCCCCCUGGGCUGACACUGACGCUCAGGCACGAAAGCGUGGGGAGCAAACAGG
rnacentral:rRNA from 1 species